rnacentral:tRNA from 1 species
AGGCGGGUACCGGACGGCACCGGAGGCCGCUUGCGGACCGGCACCUGAGACGUGGGCGGCACCGGUUCGCGUCCGGUGCCACCUGCC